rnacentral:rRNA from 1 species
UACAGGGGGUGCAAACGUUGCUCGGAAUUAUUGGGCGUAAAGCGCACGUAGGCGGUUCGUUAUGUCGGAUGUGAAAGCCCUUGGCUCAACUGAGGAAGUGCAUCCGAAACUGGCGAGCUAGAGUCCGGAAGAGGAGAGUGGAAUUCCUGGUGUAGCGGUGAAAUGCGCAGAUAUCAGGAAGAACACCCGUGGCGAAGGCGGCUCUCUGGUACGUGACUGACGCUGAGGCGCGAAAGCGUGGGGAGCGAACAGG